rnacentral:tRNA from 1 species
GCUAAAGUAGCAUAAAUGGCCUAUGCACCCGAUUUGUAAUUGGGACCAUCUGGGUUCGAUUCCCAGCCUUAGCU